rnacentral:rRNA from 1 species
UACGUAGGGGGCUAGCGUUGUCCGGAUUUAUUGGGCGUAAAGAGCGUGUAGGCGGCCAUGUAGGUCCGGUGUGAAAACUCGAGGCUUAACCUCGAGAUGUCAUCGGAAACCAUUUGGCUAGAGUCCGGAAGAGGAGAGUGGAAUUCCUGGUGUUAGCGGUGAAAUGCGCAGAUAUCAGGAAGAACACCAAUGGCGAAAGCAGCUCUCGUGGGACGGUACUGACGCUGAGACGCGAAAAGCGUGGGGAGCGAACAGG